rnacentral:rRNA from 1 species
CCUACGGGAGGCAGCAGUGGGGAAUAUUGCACAAUGGGGGAAACCCUGAUGGUGCGACGCCGCGUGGGGGAAUGAAGGUCUUCGGAUUGUAAACCCCUGCCAUGUGGGAGCAAAUUAAAAAGAUAGUACCACAAGAGGAAGAGACGGCUAACUCUGUGCCAGCAGCCGCGGUAAUACAGAGGUCUCAAGCGUUGUCCGGAAUCACUGGGCGUAAAGGGUGCGUAGGCUGUUUCGUAAGUCGUGUGUGAAAGGCGCGGGCUCAACCCGCGGACGGCACAUGAUACUGCGAGACUAGAGUGAUGGAGGGGGAACCGGAAUUCUCGGUGUAGCAGUGAAAUGCGUAGAUAUCGGGAGGAACACUCGUGGCGAAGGCGGGUUCCUGGACAUUAACUGACGCUGAGGCACGAAGGCCAGGGGAGCGAAAGGGAUUAGAUACCCCAGUAGUC